CUCAGCAGAUGUUUCAGGAUGGCAUAUGCUAUAGCUGAAAAAAUUAAGAGGCAGCUCUUCAAAACUGGGACUAGAUCUUGCUGAUAUUUGGAGCUCUGAUGCACUGAAGAUACUCCCUGCAAAGAUGACUUGAAAAGAAACAACUUCAAAGAACAGAGACUUCGUGAUAGUUCUUCAGCUUCCAAGGUUAAAGAUUUGAGGGAAAAUUUCAUGCUGGCAAAGAUGACUGCAAGAUCUACAUUUUUGUUGCCUUUUACUUCUUUUAAGG